rnacentral:rRNA from 1 species
UGGGUAACCUGCCCGGAAGUGGGGAAUACCUCGGGGAAACUCGAGCUAAUACCGCAUGACAUCUUUAGGACGAAAGUCCUGACGAUCAAAGCGGGGUCGCAAGAUCUCGCGCUACCGGAUGGGCCCGCGCCCGAUUAGCUAGUUGGUGAGGUAACGGCUCACCAAGGCAACGAUGCGUAGCCGACCUGAGAGGGUGAUCGGCCACAUUGGAACUGAGACACGGUCCAGACUCCGUAGGGAGG